GCCAGCGUAGUGCAGUGGUUUGAGCAUUUGACUAUGAUUCUGGAGACCAGGGUUUGAAUCCCGGCUUGGUCA